rnacentral:rRNA from 1 species
CCCUUAGAUGUUCUGGGCUGCACGCGUGCUACAAUGGCGUUUCCAGCAAGUCUGCGAACCCGAGAGGGCCAGCGGAUCUUCGAAUUGGCGUCGUGAUCGGGACAGUCGAUUGCAAUUAUUUGACUCAAACGAGGAAUUCCUUGUAAUCGCGAUUCAUCAUAUCGCGCUGAAUACGUCCCUGCCCUUUGUACACACCGCCCGUCACUCCUACCGAUUGAGCGAUCCGGUAAAUGUUUUGGAUUGGUGCCGGGGCGGCUAGCUGCCGGUCGCUACGAAAUUUUGUGAACCUUAUCGCUUAGAGGAAGGAAAAGUCGUAACA